GACGAACGCUGGCGGCGUGCUUAACACAUGCAAGUCGAACGGAAAGGCCCUGCUUUUGUGGGGUGCUCGAGUGGCGAACGGGUGAGUAACACGUGAGUAACCUGCCCUUGACUUUGGGAUAACUUCAGGAAACUGGGGCUAAUACCGGAUAGGAGCUCCUGCUGCAAGGUGGGGGUUGGAAAGUUUCGGCGGUUGGGGAUGGACUCGCGGCUUAUCAGCCUGUUGGUGGGGUAGUGGCUUACCAAGGCUUUGACGGGUAGCCGGCCUGAGAGGGUGACCGGCCACAUUGGGACUGAGAUGCGGCCGAGACUCCUACGGGAGGCAGCAGUGGGGAAUAUUGCACCAUGGGCGGAAGCCUGAUGCAGCAACGCCGCGUGCUGGAUGACGGCCUUCGGGUUGUAAACCGCUUUCGCCUGUGACGAAGCGUGAGUGACGGUAAUGGGUAAAGAAGCACCGGCUAACUACGUG
rnacentral:rRNA from 1 species